rnacentral:rRNA from 1 species
UUUUAGAGUUUGAUUCCUGGCUCAGGACGAACGCUGGCGGCGUGCUUAACACAUGCAAGUCGAACGAUGAUCCGGUGCUUGCACCGGGGAUUAGUGGCGAACGGGUGAGUAACACGUGAGUAACCUGCCCUUGACUCUGGGAUAAGCCUGGGAAACCGGGUCUAAUACCGGAUACGACCUGUCACCGCAUGGUGGUGGGUGGAAAGAUUUUUUGGUUUUGGAUGGACUCGCGGCCUAUCAGCUUGUUGGUGAGGUAAUGGCUCACCAAGGCGACGACGGGUAGCCGGCCUGAGAGGGUGACCGGCCACACUGGGACUGAGACACGGCCCAGACUCCUACGGGAGGCAGCAGUGGGGAAUAUUGCACAAUGGGCGAAAGCCUGAUGCAGCGACGCCGCGUGAGGGAUGACGGCCUUCGGGUUGUAAACCUCUUUCAGCAGGGAAGAAGCGAAAGUGACGGUACCUGCAGAAGAAGCGCCGGCUAACUACGUGCCAGCAGCCGCGGUAAUACGUAGGGCGCAAGCGUUGUCCGGAAUUAUUGGGCGUAANGAGCUCGUAGGCGGUUUGUCGCGUCUGCUGUGAAAGCCCGGGNNUCAACCCCGGGUCUGCAGUGGGUACGGGCAGACUAGAGUGCAGUAG